AGCAGCCGCGGUAAUUCUAGCUCCAAUAGCGUAUAUUAAAGUUGCUGCAGUUAAAAAAGCUCGUAGUUGAAUUUCGGGACCGAUAUAUCGGUCGUGCCUCGGUACGUACUGGUAUUUUCGGUUUCUACCUUCUGACGAACCUUGAUGUCAUUAAUUUGGUGUCUUGGGGAAUCAGGACUGUUACUUUGAAAAAAUUAGAGUGUUUAAAGCAGGCUCACGCUUGAAUACAUUAGCAUGGAAUAAUGAAAUAGGACGUUUGAUUCUAUUUUGUUGGUUUCUAGGAUCGACGUAAUGAUUAAUAGGGAUAGUUGGGGGCAUUAGUAUUCAAUUGUCAGAGGUGAAAUUCUUGGAUUUAUUGAAGACUAACUACUGCGAAAGCAUUUGCCAAGGAUGUUUUCAUUAAUCAAGAACGAAAGUUAGGGGAUCGAAGACGAUCAGAUACCGUCGUAGUCUUAACCAUAAACUAUGCCGACUAGGGAUCGGAGAUGUUAAUUUUUUAAUGACUCAUUCGGCGCCUUAC
rnacentral:rRNA from 1 species